rnacentral:sRNA from 1 species
ACGUGGUUGAUGAGCCGUAGUGAGGAC